AAAUUUAAAAAAAUGCCCUCAGCUGGAAUCGAACCAUGUAUAUGCAAAAAAUGAAGCACUUGGAACAAAUGCCAGAGCCAGGUAUCGAAGGGAGGCGCGUUUCAAAAUGCUGCGCUCCACUUAUUGAGUUGGCAUGCCAACUCACCGGUCCAGGUACGCGUGGAAACAGUCAACGGAUCAUGAACCAAUUGAAUGGACAACAGGAAAGGCGUGGCAGUGACUAGGACAAACCCUAGGACUCAAACCAGACGGCG
rnacentral:lncRNA from 1 species